AGAUUGAACGCUGGCGGCAUGCCUUACACAUGCAAGUCGAACGGCAGCACGGGGGGUAACCCCUGGUGGCGAGUGGCGAACGGGUGAGUAAUAUAUCGGAACAUGCCCUGUAGCGGGGGAUAACGCGUCGAAAGAUGUGCUAAUACCGCAUACGCUCUACGGAGGAAAGCGGGGGUCGCAAGACCUCGCACUAUGGAGUGGCCGAUAUCGGAUUAGCUUAGUUGGACGGGGUAAAAGCCCCACAAAGGCGACGAUCCGUAGCUGGUCUGAGACGGAUGAUCAGCCACACUGGAACCUGAGACACGGUCCAGACUCCUACGGGAGACAGCAGGUGGGUAACUUUGGAACAAUGGGGC
rnacentral:rRNA from 1 species